GGGGCUCAUAUGAAGUGUAAAUUUUGAUAGAUCUAUCACUGUAGGAAAAAAUCCAAUUCAAUUUGAAGGGACAGUAAGAGAGAGGAAGAGGAGAAAAAAGAAGAAGACAGAAUACGAGAUGCCAAAGCCAAAAGCCCUUGGGUGAAAAGGGUAUAGCGGCACCUUCGACUCCUGACCUAUAAUUUGUUGUUUAUUGUUUUUGGUUUUGAUUUUGAAAAUUGCUCUUUAGGCACCCAGCAUUUGCGAUGGAUGGAAUUAGGUAAUAUUUUCCACGUAAGA
rnacentral:lncRNA from 1 species